rnacentral:rRNA from 1 species
UAGGGAAUCCUCGGCAAUGGACGGAAGUCUGACCGAGCAACGCCGCGUGAGUGAAGAAGGUUUUCGGAUCGUAAAGCUCUGUUGUAAGAGAAGAACGAGUGUGAGAGUGGAAAGUUCACACUGUGACGGUAUCUUACCAGAAAGGGACGGCUAACUACGUGCCAGCAGCCGCGGUAAUACGUAGGUCCCGAGCGUUGUCCGGAUUUAUUGGGCGUAAAGCGAGCGCAGGCGGUUAGAUAAGUCUGAAGUUAAAGGCUGUGGCUUAACCAUAGUAGGCUUUGGAAACUGUUUAACUUGAGUGCAAGAGGGGAGAGUGGAAUUCCAUGUGUAGCGGUGAAAUGCGUAGAUAUAUGGAGGAACACCGGUGGCGAAAGCGGCUCUCUGGCUUGUAACUGACGCUGAGGCUCGAAAGCGUGGGGAGCAAACAGGAUUAGAUACCCUGGUAGUCCACGCUGUAAACGAUGAGUGCUAGGUGUUAGACCCUUUCCGGGGUUUAGUGCCGUAGCUAACGCAUUAAGCACUCCGCCUGGGGAGUACGACCGCAAGGUU